rnacentral:rRNA from 1 species
GACGAACCGAGCGAACGUUGUUCGGAAUCACUGGGCUUAAAGGGCGCGUAGGCGGGUGCUCAAGUCCGGGGUGAAAUCCUCCAGCUCAACUGGAGAACUGCCUCGGAUACUGGGUGCCUCGAGGGUGGUAGGGGUAUGCGGAACUAUCGGUGGAGCGGUGAAAUGCGUUGAUAUCGAUAGGAACUCCGGUGGCGAAGGCGGCGACCUGGGUCGAUACUGACGCUGAUGCGCGAAAGCGUGGGGAGCAAACAGG